rnacentral:rRNA from 1 species
CAAUAGCGUAUAUUAAAGUUGUUGCGGUAAAAAAGCUCGUAGUUGGAUUUCUACCGAAGAUAGCCGGUCGGGUCUUCGACCUUGUAUCUGGUUUUGUCUUUGGUAUCCUCAUAAGGAACGUUUCUGCGCUUUAUUGCGUGGUGCGGUAUCUAUGACUUCUACUUUGAGGAAAUUAGAGUGUUCACGGCAGGCAAACGCCUUGAAUAUAUUAGCAUGGAAUAAUAACAUAGGAUCUUCGUCCUAUUUUGUUGGUUUCUAGGGCUAAGAUAAUGAUUAAUAGGGAUAAUUGGGGGCAUCUGUAUCAACGCGUCAGAGGUGGAAUUCUUGGAUUGCGUUGCGACAAACUACUGCGAAAGCAUUUGCCAAGGAUGUUUUCAUUGA